GCGGCGGUUAAAAGUUUCUAGCUGUGUGUUUUUGCGUUCUUUGUUUGCUGGGACAAUUUUGGCACGAGUGGGGGUGUGAAGGACUUGUCAGCUGUCUAGGUCGUUGGGGAACUGCCACUGGUAUGUGGUGAGGAGGUAGGCAUGGUUGUGGAUGAGACCCAGUCACUAGACGAGGCCUUUUCUGCUGACCAGGUGUCAAAUGGGGUUCCCUUGGUGCCAGCCUAUAGGACAUUCUUUGGGGAUGGGAAGAUCUUCAGUUUCCAGAGUUGGCUCUGACUGAGGCAGGACCAGUGGAGGUUCUUCUACCCAGAUAUAGUUCUUUCCAAGGUUGCAUGUUGACUGCAACAGACUACUAACACAGGUGUUGGAUGCCACAGCUGACACUGCUCUAAAGAGGGAUCUGUAGUUGGGAGAGCUGAUAGUUUGUUUUCAGUUUUGUACAUAUUUUAAUGUUAUCACAUGUUUUAAAAUCUGAAUAAAAUGAAUAAAUACCAUUUUUUUUAUAUACGUCAUGAUUUAAUUGCGUGCGUAGGUGGCAUUGUGGGAAUGAGGGCGGGACGCGCGGUUUUUUUUUUCCAUUGCUUUGGUGGAUUUUUGGAAGGUGUUGAUUUUUGUAGGUUAUUUGUUCGGAGGCAGUUGGUUUUUGUUUGGAGAUGGUUUAUUUUUGUUCAGAGGUGGGACAUUUGGAUGAUUUCUUUUAAAACAAAGGAAGCUGUGAAUUCAGCAAACAAAUAGAUUAGUUUGUGUUUUAAGUAUGAUAUAAUUAGACAUGUUUGUAAAUUUUACCAUGUUUUUGUGUUACUGCUUUUUAGGUUGCAUGUUGACUGCAACAGACUACUAACACAGGUGUUGGAUGCCACAGCUGACACUGCUCUAAAGGUAAUAGACACCUUUUUUACAUACCAUUUAUCCUCUGACAAUUUAAUAAAGUGGUAUUAUAAUAUAUAAAACAUUGCAGUUUUUUUAACAGUGUAAUUUAUGUACAUCUUAAUAUCUAUAAUUCCGGUUGCAGAAGGUGUUUUUUAUUGGUUAUUUCAAUAUUCCUCUUUCAUGCUGUUCCCCAAAAAUGUGAAACCUAGGGUAAGUAUUAGCUCACCUGUCAUAUCGUCACCUCAACGCAACAGUUGUAUAUCUUAUUAUAAAUUUAUAAUAAAAUACAACUUUGUUGCGUUGAGGUGACGACAUAGUGACAAGGUGAGCUUUUGUGAUCACCGUUCGUCCGAGGUCCUUUGGAUAGGGAACUCUGCAAUUGCAUAGCCAUUCUUAGGUGCCCAUUUCUCUUUCAGCUAGAUAGGGAACUAAAUUGUGUAGAUAGGGAAGAUCUCUCAAGUAUAAGGUUAUGUAAGUAUGCAGGCGGAUAAUGCCUCUCCUGUGGAAAGGCAUUUGAAUCCUGCUAAAAAAUAAUAUAACUGGUCUUUAGAAUCAAAUGGAUGGUGUCAAGAGCAGUAAGUAAUUGCAAGUUG